GACGAACGCUGGCGGCGUGCUUAACACAUGCAAGUCGAACGGAAAGGCCCUGCUUUUGUGGGGUGCUCGAGUGGCGAACGGGUGAGUAACACGUGAGUAACCUGCCCUUGACUUUGGGAUAACUUCAGGAAACUGGGGCUAAUACCGGAUAGGAGCUCCUGCUGCAUGGUGGGGGUUGGAAAGUUUCGGCGGUUGGGGGUGGACUCGCGGCUUAUCAGCUUGUUGGUGGGGUAGUGGCUUACCAAGGCUUUGACGGGUAGCCGGCCUGAGAGGGUGACCGGCCACAUUGGGACUGAGAUACGGCCCAGACUCCUACGGGAGGCAGCAGUGGAGAAUAUUGCACAAUGGGCGGAAGCCUGAUGCAGCAACGCCGCGUGCGGGAUGACGGCCUUCGGGUUGUAAACCGCUUUCGCCUGUGACGAAGCGUGAGUGACGGUAAUGGGUAAAGAAGCACCGGCUAACUACGUG
rnacentral:rRNA from 1 species